AUGGAUGAAGACCCCAAGGUGAAUGAAGAAAAGGAAAGCCAAGAAGAUGAAGAAAAAGGAAAGGAGGAACCCAAAACUGUAGUGGAGGAAAAAACUGAACCAUUGGAAGAAGAAACUGGGUCAAAAGGAGAUGCAGAGGUUGAAGAAAAGGAGGAAAGCAAAGAAGAUGUGGAGGGGAAGGUGGAUGGGUCCAAAGAGAAAGAAGAGAAGGCUGAAGAGAAUGAGGAGAAGGGAGUAAAGAAACGUGGGAGAAGGAAGAGUGGCGGGGAGAAGAAGAGUGGUGCAGAGAAAGUUGAGAAGAAGAAGAAGAAGGUAGUGAAAGAGAAGAAGGAGCCAGAACCAAGGCCCCCUGCCUCUGACAGGCCACAACGUGAGCGGAAAUCUGUUGAAAGGCUGGUGGCAUCUAUUGAGAAAGAUGCAACCAAGGAAUUCCACAUUGAAAAGGGCUCUGGCACCCCACUGAAAGAUAUA
rnacentral:misc_RNA from 1 species